rnacentral:rRNA from 1 species
CCUACGGGUGGCAGCAGUGAGGAAUAUUGGUCAAUGGGCGGGAGCCUGAACCAGCCAAGUCGCGUGAGGGAAGACGGUCCUAUGGAUUGUAAACCUCUUUAGGCGGGGAGCAAUGCCGGGCACGUGUGCCCGGAGGGAGAGUACCCGCAGAAUAAGCAUCGGCUAACUCCGUGCCAGCAGCCGCGGUAAUACGCAGGGUACGAGCGGUAUCCGGAUUUAUUGGGUUUAAAGGGUGGGUAGGCUGGGAGGUAAGUCAGCGGUGAAAUGCACACGCUCAACGGGGUGAAGUGCCAUUGAUCCUGCCUUGCUGGAAUGCGGAUGGCGUGGGAGGAAGGUGUGGUGUAGCGGUGAAAUGCAUAGA